UAGUUUAUCCAUUCUUUUGGAUUAUUUUAAAAACGUCUCGGAAAAAUAAAAAAACAAAACCUACAAAUAUUUACAGUGUACCGAUUUUUAAAUUUUUUAUCUUUCAACUAAAUCCAAUAUUCAACAAAAAAGUUCUUUUUUCUACCGGCUCCGUCUCCCCUGAACGGUUUCCGGCACACAUAACGGAUAGAAAAUAAAAACUAAAUAGACCGGUAGUGUAAUAACUCGAAAAAUAUUGAAAAUAUUGAAAUUUCACGGGAAUUAAACUUGGCCGGUAGGGUUUUUAU